rnacentral:rRNA from 1 species
GACGAACGCUGGCGGCGUGCCUAAUACAUGCAAGUCGAGCGAAUCUUUAGGAGCUUGCUCCUGAAGGUUAGCGGCGGACGGGUGAGUAACACGUGGGCAACCUGCCUGUAAGACUGGGAUAACACCGGGAAACCGGUGCUAAUACCGGAUAAUUCUUUUCCUCACAUGGGGAGAAGCUGAAGGACGGCAUCUCGAUGUCACUUACAGAUGGGCCCGCGGCGCAUUAGCUAGUUGGUGGGGUAACGGCCCACCAAGGCGACGAUGCGUAGCCGACCUGAGAGGGUGAUCGGCCACACUGGGACUGAGACACGGCCCAGACUCCUACGGGAGGCAGCAGUAGGGAAUCUUCCGCAAUGGACGAAAGUCUGACGGAGCAACGCCGCGUGAGCGAAGAAGGCCUUCGGGUCGUAAAGCUCUGUUGUCAGGGAAGAACAAGUACGAGAGUAACUGCUCGUACCUUGACGGUACCUGACCAGAAAGCCACGGCUAACUACGUGCCAGCCGCCGCAGUAAUAC